rnacentral:tRNA from 3 species
GCACCCAUAGCUCAGUUGGUAGAGCAGAUCCCUCUUAAGGAUAUGGUCCUAGGUUCAAGUCCUAGUGGGUGCA